AAGCAACACUCUGUAGUAAGCAUCUAAGUUGCCUGCUGCAAUUUAAGCUUGCUAGAAUAGAAAAGUCUAACCUAUUCCAGGGGUCUCUGCUUUGUGAGGUCACCUGUUAUAUAGACUUGGACAAU